UAGGGAAUCUUUCACAAUGGGCGAAAGCCUGAUGGAGCAACGCCGCGUGUGUGAUGAAGGGUUUCGGCUCGUAAAACACUGUUGUAAGAGAAGAAUGACAUUGAGAGUAACUGUUCAAUGUGUGACGGUAUCUUACCAGAAAGGAACGGCUAAAUACGUGCCAA
rnacentral:rRNA from 1 species